AAAUUAGAAAAAAUGAGAAAAAAAUUGGGAAUAAAUCUGUGAUGCUGUAAAUCAAAAAAAAAAAUUGUAAAAAUUCGCACAGAAUCUUCAUAUAAGUUUAAGGUUAUGUUAAUUCACCUGAAUAAUACUGGGCGCUCGCAGGAGUUGUUGGAGAUCUAGUAAUCAUCAAAAAUCAAUGAAGGAAUUAGAAAAUAUUCAGGAAACACAGGAGAAAAAAUAAAGAAUGAUGACAAAUCAACAUUACCAUGCGUGUCCCUGUCAACGGUGUCCACUUCUUGCCCCCAUCGUUUCACAUUUGUGAUUCCUUUGUGCUGUCAGUUCAACCACGGAUACAUAUUUCUUCAGGUGUUAGCACGUGUCUACCAAGAGAGGAAUUACCACAAAGCACACCGAACAUGGGGUGAAUCAACUAUGCCAUUGAAACUUGAUACAAACUGACUUUGUUACUCAUUAGAAGAACUAGAUCCCUGGACCCCUCUGAAGAUAAUUUAAAUAACAAUACGCUGCGACGAUAGAGUUAGUUCUUGGCGUGUCCGGUUCUGCUGAUUCUGUUGAUGUAUUUAUUCUUCAAGGGAGGAAUUGUCGUAG
rnacentral:misc_RNA from 1 species